rnacentral:rRNA from 1 species
AUUGAACGCUGGCGGUAUGCUUAACACAUGCAAGUCGAACGGUAGCAGACAAGAGCUUGCUCUUGUGCUGACGAGUGGCGGACGGGUGAGUAAUGCAUGGGAAUCUGCCUUGAAGUGGGGGACAACCCGGGGAAACUCGGGCUAAUACCGCAUAAUACCUUCGGGUUAAAGCUGGGGCCUUUUUGGCCUGGCGCUUCUAGAUGAGCCCAUGUUGGAUUAGCUUGUAGGUAGGGUAAAGGCCUACCUAGGCAACGAUCCAUAGCUGGUCUGAGAGGAUGAUCAGCCACACUGGGACUGAGACACGGCCCAG